CUAUAAUAUGAGACUUUUGGUUACUUUUUCGAUCUUUUACUGGUAUUAAUUAAACGUUUAAUGAGAAUAUACAACAUGGAACGAUAAAGUGUUCUUCAAAAGGAGAUAUAAAGGAUACUAAUUUUAUCCUUUUUUACCCAUUUCUUCCCCUAAACGUAAUCCCUUCUUAGUGGAUCUAUACAAUGCCAAAGGAACCUAUAACCAAAAUUUCAUGAUUCUAGCUUUAACGGUUUGGGCUGGGCGAUGAUGAAUCAGUCAGUCAAUCAGUCACGCAAGCCUUUUAUAUAUAGAUUGAGAGAAGGAGAAUGGAUAGUUAGCUGCUGGUUUCAUACCUACAUCCUGUACAAAAAUAUUUUAACAGAUUAAAGUCUACUAAACUCACCUGCAAACAAAUCAACUGUAGUAACAGUAUUACAUUCGACACCGUUACAACUGGAACCAUUUUUUUCUUUUCCGUACACUACCCACGGUGAACCAGAAUUCAACGAACACAUAAAUCCUAUGUCGCAAAACAGAAUUUGGAUGUAAAACCAUUUGCAGGGCGAUUUAAUACGAUUAACCUUAGAAUCCAAUACGCAUAUAUUAGGAUACAUCCCACCAACAAGGGCGGCUUUAAUGACAGAACAAUUCGAUUUGAGAUUUAUAUAAUGCAUACUAAGAUCAACUUUGCUAUAUAUUAAUUGUGAUGAUCUUAAGGAUCCAACCAAUUGAGUACGGAUAUUGCAGUCCUGUUCCAACAGGCCAUUCAAAAUGAAAUUAUAUUAAAAUCAAAAACCAAUUCCUCAUUUCUAAAGUUAUUUUU